rnacentral:rRNA from 1 species
UACGUAGGGCGCAAGCGUUGUCCGGAAUUAUUGGGCGUAAAGAGCUCGUAGGCGGUUUGUCGCGUCUGCUGUGAAAACCCGAGGCUCAACCUCGGGCCUGCAGUGGGUACGGGCAGACUAGAGUGUGGUAGGGGAGACUGGAAUUCCUGGUGUAGCGGUGAAAUGCGCAGAUAUCAGGAGGAACACCGAUGGCGAAGGCAGGUCUCUGGGCCACUACUGACGCUGAGAAGCGAAAGCAUGGGGAGCGAACAGG